ACAGAUUCAUUCUCACAAUUUCAAAACAAUAAAAUUUCCCCCUAUUCCAAAUUGUAUUGGUUUUACACUUGCACAAAUUCAACAUCCAAAUUACACUUACAUUAAUACCCAUAAAUAUUUGUUAUUUUAUCUAUACCCCCCCCCCCCCCCCCCACACACACACACACAACACAAUAAUGGAGAAUGGUGGUUCUACAAAAAGAAUAAGAGCUGAAGAUGUAAUAUCUAAGCUCAAAGAUGAUGGUGAUUUUGAUAUACUUCGUCUCAAAAUUGUUCGCAAACUCAAAGAAAAUGAAGAAUUGCGGAAUAGCAUAAUAGCCACUGUGAAAGAAUCAGUAGCACUUAACCGUCCAGGUGUAGAAAAUUUGAAACCAAGGCAACUCUCCGAUGCUAUAUAUCAAGAAGUUGGGGACAAAGUCAUGGGUAAAAUUUCAGAAGAUCUGUGGAGUACAAUCAGAACUGGUGAUGGCAUUCAAACGGAGAUAACCCAAACUGUUCAAUCGGUUUACAAUAAGUUAUUGUACCCACAACUAAAUGAAGCUGGCGAAUCUUCCUCUCAUUCAGACUUGCAGCCAGCUAAGAAUGGAGUUGAAAGUAAUGGACAUAUUGCUGCGUCAGGCAGUGGGUCCGCGUUGUCUGUUGAUGCGGAGCCAAGUGAACCUCCUGGUUUUGCCCGAUUAGGUUCAAAUCAGAACAGCAAAAGUGACCAUAAGGAAUCACCCAAAGAGGAAUCAGGAAUUCCUAUUCCUGUUCCUGCCCAGUCAGAGACCAAUUGCUCACUUGACCCUUUGGUGCCCGACAGUGUGGAUGUUGGUGCGCCACCUGGCUUUGCUAUAGUCACGAAAGAGAAGAAUCCAGAUAAUGUCGAUGAUGAAGAUCCGGACGUGCCUCCAGGAUUUGGCUGAUCGCUUAUUAAGUUAUAAUGCUUCUGUUUAUAUUUUUGGAAAAGGUUAACCAUAGUGGGUUGAUCAUUGACGUGUCAAGUUCAAGAAGCUUGUGUUGACACGUGCAAAGAGUACCUUACUUUGACUUCGCCGACUAGAAGUUCAUGACCUCUCUUUCUUCAAUUUCCCGAGGUUAGAAGCCUUAACUAUGUCACUUGUGCAUGAUCUUGGAUUACAGAUUAGUACUAUCAAACAUCAGAGCCUUUAGAUAUGAACAUUGUGGAUAAAAGGAUGUCAGUUGUAAGAGUUAAUUUUGUUGGUUCUUUAGAUGUUAAUCGUAUUAUUACUUCCUACACUGUACAGGGUCAACAUACUUUUUUGCCCUUAUGCUGUCUUUUAAAUGGUUUUCUUUUAGCUGUUUUUCCAAAAUUUCUAGGAGUUGAUGCUGUGGAUUGGACAAAGGAAAAUUAGUUGCCCAUAUCAAUUGGCAAGAAGGUAUGCAACACUAACUUCAGAUACAAGAAGUGUUAUUUAUUGGUAUUAAAAAGUUCCAAGCAUGCUGUUUGGAAUUCGAUAUUUAGGUUUGUUUGCCUAAACACUCCUGUAGUAUGAAUCGGAGUUUAGGUUUAUUUGCCUAAACAAUCCUGUAAUAUGAUCCAAAAUUUAGUUUUUUUUUUGCCUAAGCACUCCUUUAAUACGAUUCGCAAUUUUGAUUUGUUUGCCUAAAUACUCCUGUAAUUUACAGCAUGGAGAGCUAGAGUCCUGGCAUUACAUAAAUCUCUUUUUAAUUUCGGCAGUUUCAUUAACACAUUGUAUUAAGUACCAUUCUAGUUGUUAAUGAAAUGAUUGUCAUAUAAUUG